GACGAACGCUGGCGGCGUGCUUAACACAUGCAAGUCGAACGGAAAGGCCCUGCUUUUGUGGGGUGCUCGAGUGGCGAACGGGUGAGUAACACGUGAGUAACCUGCCCUUGACUUUGGGAUAACUUCAGGAAACUGGGGCUAAUAACGGAUAGGAGCUUCUGCUGCAUGGUGGGGGUUGGAAAGUUUCGGCGGUUGGGGAUGGACUCGCGGCUUAUCAGCUUGCUGGUGGGGUAGUGGCUUACCAAGGCUUUGACGGGUAGCCGGCCUGAGAGGGUGAACGGCCACAUUGGGACUGAGAUACGGCCCAGACUCCUACGGGAGGCAGCAGUGGGGAAUAUUGCACAAUGGGCGGAAGCCUGAUGCAGCAACGCCGCGUGCGGGAUGACGGCCUUCGGGUUGUAAACCGCUUUCGCCUGUGACGAAGCGUGAGUGACGGUAAUGGGUAAAGAAGCACCGGCUAACUACGUG
rnacentral:rRNA from 1 species